UGGGGCAUUCGGUGGAUGCCUUGGCACCAAGAGCUGAUGAAGGACGUUGCGGCCUGCGAUAUGCCCCGGGGAGUUGGCGAGCGAGCUUUGAUCCGGGGGUGUCCGAAUGGGGGAACCCGGCCCGGGUUGUGCUGGGCCACCAUCAUCUGAACGUGU
rnacentral:sRNA from 1 species